GAUGAACGCUGGCGGCGUGCCUAAUACAUGCCAGUCGAGCGAACGGACGAGAAGCUUGCUUCUCUGAUGUUAGCGGCGGACGGGUGAGUAACACGUGGAUAACCUACCUAUAAGACUGGGAUAACUUCGGGAAACCGGAGCUAAUACCGGAUAAUAUUUCGAACCGCAUGGUUCAAAAGUGAAAGACGGUCUUGCUGUCACUUAUAGAUGGAUCCGCGCUGCAUUAGCUAGUUGGUAAGGUAACGGCUUACCAAGGCAACGAUGCAUAGCCGACCUGAGAGGGUGAUCGGCCACACUGGAACUGAGACACGGUCCAGACUCCUACGGGAGGCAGCAGUAGGGAAUCUUCCGCAAUGGGCGAAAGCCUGACGGAGCAACGCCGCGUGAGUGAUGAAGGUCUUCGGAUCGUAAAACUCUGUUAUUAGGGAAGAACAUAUGUGUAAGUAACUGUGCACAUCUUGACGGUACCUAAUCAGAAAGCCACGGCUAACUACGUG
rnacentral:rRNA from 1 species